rnacentral:lncRNA from 1 species
CCGCACGUUACUGAGGCUGGCAGCCCGAAGGGAGCAGCUGGGAGGAGGGAGGAGUAGCUGAACGCCAGCUGGACCGGGGCUGCCUCCGCCUCUCCUCGCCGGCCUCGUCGCGGCCCUGCAGGUCGCGCUCGUGCUGUGCCUUCAGAGCCUGCACGGUCACCUCCAGGCGCAGCUUGGCGUCCUCGGCCGCCGUCAGCUCGUCCUCCAGCUCCGUCACCUGUGCUCGCAGGUCGUUGGCUGCCUGCUCCGCCACCCUGCGGGCGCGUUCCAGUUCGUGCACCUGAUGGGUAAACUGAGGCUGAGACUGGAAGAGCAACAUGCCGGAGGUGCCCAGGGAGUCCACAGGCCAAGCGCAUCCUCUUGGCUUUUCGGCCAACCAGAACUCUGCCUCCACACUGUGACGUCACACACGCCCGGUUCCUCCAAUGGCGGGAAGCGCAGGUCGGCCUGUGGACUCUCCAGCUGGGUAAACGGAGGCACCCACCUGGUCGAAUUUGCGCUGCUUCUUCUCCAGCGAGCUCACGAGCUGCCGCUGCUGCUCCAGGUCCACCGUGGCGUCGUCCAGCUCCUGCUGCAGCCGGCGGCGGCCCCGCUCCAGCCGCUCCGCAGCCUCCGUCUUCUCCGCCAGGCGCUGGGCCAGGGCCUCGGCCUCCCGGGCCGCGCGGCGCCGGGCCUCCUCCCCCGCCUCCAGUGCUCCCGCCUCCUCCUCCUGGCGGCGCCGCCACUCUGACAGCUGGGUAGAGGACCGAGCCGGAGGGUGACAGUCACCCGGUGAGGGGCCCAGGCAGGAGAUCCCGAUGCCCUCUCCCACAGGGGAAAGUGAAGCCUGAAGGAGAAUGUUACUCCCCGGGGCUCUUCUGCCUCCGACUGGUCUUGAGCUCGAAUUACUGGAGACAGAAGAGAAGAGCGAGGAGCACCGGUGUGCCAGGGCAGAGCGGCCUCUCUCCGCACACGCCCGCGGAGACCCCGCUCACCUGCGCUCGCUGCAGCUUCUCCGCAGCCUCCACACGUGCGCGCUCUCCGUCACCAGCCCGGCCCUGCACCUCCUGCAGCUGCGACUCCAGACGCCUACGCCUCUGCUCUCCCUCCUGGCGUGCAGACUGCAGGCUGCUCAGCUCCGCCCGCAGCUCGGACACCUCUGCCUCCAGAGCCAGCCUCGUCUUCUCCCAAGCGCCUUUGCCC